UACGUAGGGGGCGAGCGUUGUCCGGAUUUAUUGGGCGUAAAGAGCGUGUAGGCGGCCAGGUAGGUCUGCUGUGAAAACUCGAGGCUCAACCUCGAGACGUCGGCGGAAACCAUCUGGCUAGAGUCCGGAAGAGGAGAAUGGAAUCCCGGUGUAGCGGUGAAAUGCGCAGAUAUCGGGAAGAACACCCGUGGCGAAGGCGGUUCUCUGGGACGGUACUGACGCUGAGACGCGAAAGCGUGGGGAGCGAACAGG
rnacentral:rRNA from 1 species